GUCCUGGCUUAAACGAUGGAUGCUUGGUGUCUGGAGUUUUAUAGUCUCCGGGUGCCGUAGCUAACGCGUUAAGCAUCCCGCCUGGGGAGUACGGUCGCAAGACUGAAACUCAAAGGAAUUGACGGGGACCCGGCACAAGCGGUGGAGCAUGUGGUUCAAUUCGACGCAACGCGAAGAACCUUACCUGGGCUAGAAUGCCUCCUACAACCCUAGAGAUAGGGCUUCUUAGGGAAACCUAGGCGGAGUGCAAGGUGCUGCAUGGCUGUCGU
rnacentral:rRNA from 1 species